GGCUCAGGAUGAACGCUGGCGGCGUGCCUAAUACAUGCAAGUCGAGCGAACGGACGAGAAGCUUGCUUCUCUGAUGUUAGCGGCGGACGGGUGAGUAACACGUGGAUAACCUACCUAUAAGACUGGGAUAACUUCGGGAAACCGGAGCUAAUACCGGAUAAUAUUUUGAACCGCAUGGUUCAAAAGUGAAAGACGGUCUUGCUGUCACUUAUAGAUGGAUCCGCGCUGCAUUAGCUAGUUGGUAAGGUAACGGCUUACCAAGGCAACGAUGCAUAGCCGACCUGAGAGGGUGAUCGGCCACACUGGAACUGAGACACGGUCCAGACUCCUACGGGAGGCAGCAGUAGGGAAUCUUCCGCAAUGGGCGAAAGCCUGACGGAGCAACGCCGCGUGAGUGAUGAAGGUCUUCGGAUCGUAAAACUCUGUUAUUAGGGAAGAACAUAUGUGUAAGUAACUGUGCACAUCUUGACGGUACCUAAUCAGAAAGCCACGGCUAACUACGUGCCAGCAGCCGCGGUAAUACGUAGGUGGCAAGCGUUAUCCGGAAUUAUUGGGCGUAAAGCGCGCGUAGGCGGUUUUUUAAGUCUGAUGUGAAAGCCCACGGCUCAACCGUGGAGGGUCAUUGGAAACUGGAAAACUUGAGUGCAGAAGAGGAAAGUGGAAUUCCAUGUGUAGCGGUGAAAUGCGCAGAGAUAUGGAGGAACACCAGUGGCGAAGGCGACUUUCUGGUCUGUAACUGACGCUGAUGUGCGAAAGCGUGGGGAUCAAACAGGAUUAGAUACCCUGGUAGUCCACGCCGUAAACGAUGAGUGCUAAGUGUUAGGGGGUUUCCGCCCCUUAGUGCUGCAGCUAACGCAUUAAGCACUCCGCCUGGGGAGUACGACCGCAAGGUUGAAACUCAAAGGAAUUGACGGGGACCCGCACAAGCGGUGGAGCAUGUGGUUUAAUUCGAAGCAACGCGAAGAACCUUACCAAAUCUUGACAUCCUUUGACAACUCUAGAGAUAGAGCCUUCCCCUUCGGGGGACAAAGUGACAGGUGGUGCAUGGUUGUCGUCAGCUCGUGUCGUGAGAUGUUGGGUUAAGUCCCGCAACGAGCGCAACCCUUGAGCUUAGUUGCCAUCAUUAAGUUGGGCACUCUAAGUUGACU
rnacentral:rRNA from 1 species